UACGGAGGGUGCGAGCGUUGUCCGGAAUCACUGGGCGUAAAGGGCGCGUAGGCGGCGCGAGUAGUCAACGGUGAAAGCCCGGGGCUCAACCCCGGGUCGGCCGUCGAUACUCUCGUGCUUGAGCACUGUAGAGGCAGGUGGAAUUCCGGGUGUAGCGGUGGAAUGCGUAGAGAUCCGGAAGAACACCGGUGGCGAAGGCGAGGCGCUGGACCCUUUCUGACGCUGAGGCGCGAAAGCCAGGGGAGCAAACGGG
rnacentral:rRNA from 1 species